GACGAACGCUGGCGGCGUGCUUAACACAUGCAAGUCGAACGGAAAGGUCCUGCUUUUGUGGGGUGCUCGAGUGGCGAACGGGUGAGUAACACGUGAGUAACCUGCCCUUGACUUUGGGAUAACUUCAGGAAACUGGGGCUAAUACCGGAUAGGAGCUCCUGCUGCAUGGUGGGGGUUGGAAAGUUUCGGCGGUUGGGGAUGGACUCGCGGCUUAUCGGCUUGUUGGUGGGGUAGUGGCUUACCAAGGCUUUGACGGGUAGCCGGCCUGAGAGGGUGACCGGCCACAUUGGGACUGAGAUACGGCCCAGACUCCUACGGGAGGCAGCAGUGGGGAAUAUUGCACAAUGGGCGGAAGCCUGAUGCAGCAACGCCGCGUGCGGGAUGACGGCCUUCGGGUUGUAAACCGCUUUCGCCUGUGACGAAGCGUGAGUGACGGUAAUGGGUAAAGAAGCACCGGCUAACUACGUG
rnacentral:rRNA from 1 species